rnacentral:rRNA from 1 species
CGGCGGACGGGUGAGUAACGCGUGGGCAACCUGCCUUCCACUGGGGGAUAACACAGGGAAACCUGUGCUAAUACCGCAUGACAUCACAUAGGGCAUCCUGUGUGAUCAAAGGAGUGAUCCGGUGGAAGAUGGGCCCGCGUCCGAUUAGCUAGUUGGUGAGGUAACGGCUCACCAAGGCGACGAUCGGUAGCCGGACUGAGAGGUUGGCCGGCCACAUUGGGACUGAGACACGGCCCAGACUCCUACGGGAGGCAGCAGUGGGGAAUAUUGCGCAAUGGGGGGAACCCUGACGCAGCGACGCCGCGUGAAGGAAGAAGGCCUUCGGGUUGUAAACUUCUUUGAUGAGGGACGAAGGAAGUGACGGUACCUCAAAAACAAGCCACGGCUAACUACGUGCCAGCAGCCGCGGUAAUACGUAGGUGGCGAGCGUUGUCCGGAAUUACUGGGUGUA